GGUGUUCGCAGCUGCCAGUUGAAAGUUGAUUCCAGUCAGAGUUCCGAGUUAUUUUUUGUUAAAUUUAUGAAAUGAACGCUCUCUAAAACAAGUUGACGAAAACAAUUUGCAGCGAACUCGUUAAUGGCAACUGAGAACCGGUAAAAAUUGUUGUUGCCAACAACAAAAGUCAAGAGUGAACGACUUUGGUGUAAUCCCAGCACACACACACACACACACACACAUGCUCGUAAAUCAAAUUUGAGUUUUUAAGCCGCAACGGAAUGUGUGCCAAAGCUCAACGAAAUGUCGAAUGGGAUUAAAUAUAUCACAUAAGUAUAAAGAGCAGAGCUAAAAGUCAACUAAAAUAAUAGAUGCAACUACACUGAAUAAACGAAAUAAAAGCAAGCAUUGCAAAUUUACGUUGCAGACUAUUAAAGAUCACUUCAAAGGCAGCUACGAAAAGGCUUGUUUCACUUGUUUUCUUUUCUUUUUGCAUUGGUGAAUUGGGUACUUGGGAGGUGAGUAUACAUGAGACAAGAGACCAUUGGAGGUGAGUAUACUUGAGACAGCACAAGUACUUGUAGUAGGUAUGUCUGUUAUUGUCGUUGUCGUUGUUGUUGUUGUUGUUGGCAUUGACCGCAAAUGAGAGAGAGAGAGAGAGAGAAGGUUGCAAAAGUCACACGAUAGCUUUGGCAGUACUCGAAGCCGUAAUGCCUGCGGUCAGGCAAUGGACUUCUUAAAUGUCAAUAUCGCGACAUGCGUGUGCUCCUAUAUAUCUAUAAACCCGCAGAGAUGCAGACGGAGACGGAGAUGGAGAUGGAGACGCAUACGCAGACAAUUGCGUAAUCCACUGAAGAUGUGGAUUUAGUGACGACUGCGAUUACAUCAUACCAAAUAAAUAGUCGUGUAUAUAUAGUUAACAUAGCUGGGCUUGCUUUGCUUGAGCAAAAAAAAAAGGCAAAAAAUAUGAGCGUCGUUUGCCUUUUGCCGAGUUUUACGAGCGAGCUUACGAGACGAAGCUCAAUGUGGCGGCUUGCAUGUCAACAAAACUGGUUGGCUUUAAUUAAAUAUUGUACAACUGAUCGAGAAAACAGCAACGAUUGGUAAUAUUAAGACACAAGGAACUGGGCGUCAUCUUCGGCAGAUGGGAAAGUUGUUUCCCUUACGUAACUAAAGCGAAGCUACUCUGAAAGUGGUUUGACAUAAAAAAUUCACAAAACACAAAACCCGGAGCCUAACUCUUAUCCCCCUCAAAAAUUUGUUCAAUUUGAUUUCAUUAUAUAAUGUAGUAUAUAAAUUAAGAAUACAAAAUAGGCUGUCAAUAAAAAAUCCCAAAACAUGUUAGGAGCAAAAAUAGAGAGAAACAUUCAAAUUACUUGAAUUUCUGGUCAUAAAUAGUAUAAUUUAAAAUGUUGCAAAUUAUGAAUAUCAACUUUAGGAAUCAGAAAUGCUCAAAUGAAAAUAAUAAUCACUUGAGUGCUAAAAAUCUCAAUGCUAAAAUUACUAGGAAGUAGUUUGUAAAAUAUGAUUUUUGAUUUGAAUUUCAUGGCUCAAAUAUAGUUGAUGAUAUUGAGAAAGUUGUGCCAAGAGCUGACAUUGGAUCGAAAUCAUAAAAUAACAUUAAUAUUAACUUUUACGAUUGCUGCUGCAAGAUAAAAUUUUUAUGAAGAUCUGUUUGUUGAAGAUUGUGUAAACAUUUUAUGGCUAACCUCGCCCUGCCAACUUAAUGAAAUAAUUGAAAUUGUAUCAAACAAGGUAAGAAAAUGUCGAUGAUAAAAGCGUAUGACAUUCAAUUGACUUGAAGCUUCAUAGCUGUUGAAGAUAAAUGUGGCAAAUGUAUUCAUUCAGCAUCAAAUGGACAAAUAAGCAAGAUGUAUACGUAUACGUAAUAUAAUUUUGGUCACAUCGAAUUCAAUUUUUAUUCUAUCAAAUAUCAAUUUUAAGUCAACCAAAUAGUCUAAUUUUGAAUACAAAAAUGUUAAUGGAUUGGAUAUUUCCUAUAUAUACUAUAGAGAUUUCAAUGUGUAUUGAAUAAUACAAAA